UCAUUAAGAGCCCAAAUAUUACAUAAAGGCAUCAGUAAGGACUGCCACAAAUACACAUAUUUCAACAGAAAAAAAAACAAAUUCUUCAGCAUCCCAAGUAGUCAAAACAGCAGGGGGACCAGUCUUCAUAACAGCACAACAGUCUUUAUAUCAGGGGGAACCAUUACCAUUUAAUCUGAGGAAGAGGCAUCAUCUUCACCUUCAGAAUCAGAGUUGCCACUAGAUUGAGCAUUGGACCUCUCACUUGAGG
rnacentral:lncRNA from 1 species